rnacentral:lncRNA from 1 species
AUGAAAUUUGGUCCGAUAGCAACAGUAUCAACGAUGUCAAUGUCACGACUAGCAAAAGAAGAAGAUGAAGAAGAGCAACAACAAUGGAAGAAUAACAAGAGAGAAAAAGGAAAAAGGUGAGCCAUUGGUGCCUCUUUUUUUCCCUCCAUUUCUUAUGGGCCAAAGUGUAAAAUAAAAAAACUUGGGGAUGAGAAAUUUAUUCUCUUAGUCCUUAAUUUAAAAGUUGUCACCCCUACUCAAUAAUUAAGACUUGAGUCACCUAUACCUAAUUUUGAAAC